CCCUUUUAAUUCAAAUCAGGCCGCCCUUUUAUUUAAAAAGAAAAAAAAGGGAAAAAAAAUCCAGGCCUCUCUCUCUUGCUAAUGGAGCGCAAAAUUGAGCAAUCUCCAAAGACGAAAAUGGAGUCUCUGAGAACGAUCUGUGACAGAGAGUUUUCGAUCCAACAGCAGAAGAUAGAUUCUUUUACGGCAUCGUUUCCUUCUUCUCUUAAUUCCAUCAAGUCCCUAGUGCUUGAUACUGCUCAAAAUCAUGCCAAACUUGCAAAGUUGAAAGCCAAUUUAAGAGAAGCCGAAGAUGAGUUUGUCAAGGUUUUAGCUGCGAAGACCCGUAAAGAGGCGAAGCAGAUGGCAACGAGGGAUUCAAUCUCUGCUGUAAAAGCUAGAGUAGAAGAACUUAAAAGAACUGUCCAAGUUCAAAGGAGCAGGAGGGAAGAGUAUGGAGCAAUUAUAUCUCGGCAAUCUCUAGCUUUGUCAAAAACUGAAGAGGAUGCAGAACAUGAAAUAGAGGAAAAUGGAGAAAUUCAAGAAGCUAUUUCAUGGUAUAAUCGGGUUCUCGGUUUUCAGAUUGAAGGUGGUCGUGGGGUGAAGUUUACAUUCAAUGAUAUUAACAUAAAAAAUCCAAAGGAAGAAUAUUCCUUUACCAUUUGUCAUGCAAAUGAUGCCUACUCCUUAUUGGAUUGCAACCCAAACUUGAAUGGCAUUAAAGACUUGAUUAAUGAGUUGAACAGAACAAAUGACUUAUUUGGCUUUGUUAGAACCUUCAGAGAAAAGUUUCAAGAAGCAGCAGCACUUGGAUUGCAGCCCCAGUCCACAACUUUUGAUCAGGACUGUUCCACAAUCUCUUUGUCUGGUCCAGCUUUAUCAGUUUCGAGUAAUAGAAGUGAAUCUUCUGCCAAGAAAAAUGAGCAUCACAUUCCACUUCAAGAUGCAAAUAGGCAAUUUAAGAAAUUCAGCCAUGGAAGUAAAUCUCCAGCCAAGGUAAAUGAAAAUCAACAUAUUGAUGGAGAACUCAAUAGAAAUCCCAAGGAAGUAGUCAAAUCAGAUAUUCUAUCACCAGGUCGUCGGUCCACUCGGCUUAAAGAAGUAGCCAAAUCAGAAAUCUUAUCACCAGUUGUUCAUUGGUCCCCCCGGCUUAAGAAAGUAGCAAAACCAGAUCUUUUAUCACCAGUUGUUCGUCAGUCCCCUCGGCUUAAGGAACUCUCGGAAUAAUAUGUUUACCCCUUGGUUUGCUUCAUUUUCUAAGUUGGGGAUGCAUAUUUAUUUCUAGAAUGAUGCUAAGAAAUGAAGUUAGACUGGAGGCUGCUUGGUUGUAUCGAAUUUCCGAUUUCAUGUUGAUUUUAGGGUAUGGGCUGAUGUUGUACUUUCUGACUAGCCCGUGAUGCAGUUAACAUGCAGGAUGUGGAAACUAAUCUACAUAUAGAUAUCAUUUAACUUAGUUGGAACCGAUUGUUCUUUGAAACCCAAGUUGUGCGACUAACCCGGUAUGACCUUCCAAUGUUUGUAUCAUACUUCAUUUUUGGAAUGAAGUUAUCGAAGAUGAUUAGUUAAGCUGAAUGUUUAAAUGCUUUAGCGUUGUUAGGUUUUGGUACUUUGUAUCUUUCGGAUGAAUGUAUUACCAUUUUAUCAUUUAUAAUAAUCUGCAUCGCUUGCAAUA